GACGUAGGGCGCGAGCGUUGUCCGGAUUUAUUGGGCGUAAAGAGCUCGUAGGCGGCUUGUCGCGUCGACUGUGAAAACCCGUGGCUCAACCAUGUGGUCUGCAGUCGAUACGGGCAGGCUAGAAUUCGGUAGGGGAGACUGGAAUUCCUGGUGUAGCGGUGAAAAUGCGCAGAUAUCAGGAGGAACACCGGUGGCGAAGGCGGAUCUCUGGGCCGUAACUGACGCUGAGGAGCGAAAGCAUGGGGGAGCGAAACAGG
rnacentral:rRNA from 1 species